CAAUAGCGUAUAUUUAAGUUGUUGCAGUUAAAAAGCUCGUAGUUGGAUUUCGGGUUGGCUUCAGCGGUCUCGCUUUGCGUUUGUACUGCCGCAGCCUUCCUUCUUGCUGGGGACGGUCCUCCGGGCUUCAUUGCUUGGGGUCUGGAAUCAGCGACGUUACUUUGAGUAAAUUAGAGUGUUCAAAGCAAGCCUACGCUCUGAAUAUAAUAGCAUGGGAUAACACGACAGGACUCUGGCCUAUCGUGUUGGUCUGUAGGACCAGAGUAAUGAUUAAGAGGGACAGUCGGGGGCAUUCGUAUUCCGUUGUCAGAGGUGAAAUUCUUGGAUUUACGGAAGACGAACAUUUGCGAAAGCAUUUGCCAAGGAUGUUUUCAUUGA
rnacentral:rRNA from 1 species